rnacentral:rRNA from 1 species
AUUGAACGCUGGCGGCAGGCCUAACACAUGCAAGUCGAGCGAGCGGCGGACGGGUGCGUAAUGUCUGGGAAACUGCCUGAUGGAUGGGGAUAACUACUGGAAACGGUUGCUAAUACCGCACACCAUCAGAUGUGCCCAGAUGGGAUUAGCUAGUAGGUGGGGUAACGGCUCACCUAGGCGACGAUCCCUAGCUGGUCUGAGAGGAUGACCAGCCACACUGGGACUGAGACACGGCCCAGACUCCUACGGGAGGCAGCAGUGGGGAAUAUUGCGCAAUGGGCGCAAGCCUGAUGCAGCCAUGCCGCGUGUGUGAAGAAGGCCUUCGGGUUGUAAAGCACUUUCGGCGGGGAGGCGUUACCCGCAGAGGAAGCACCGGCUAACUCCGUGCCAGCAGCCGCGGUAAUUC